rnacentral:rRNA from 1 species
GACGAACGCUGGCGGCGUGCCUAAUACAUGCAAGUCGAACGCAGUGGGGACGGGUGAGUAACACGUGGGUAACCUCCCAUCAGAGGGGAUAACCCUUGGAAACAGGUGCUAAACCGAUACUGAUGGAUGGACCCGCGGUGCAUUAGCUAGUUGGUGGGGUAACGGCCAACCAAGGCCACGAUGCAUAGCUGACCUGAGAGGGUGAUCGGCCACACUGGGACUGAGACACGGCCCAGACUCCUACGGGAGGCAGCAGUAGGGAAUCUUCGGCAAUGGACGAAAGCCUGACGGAGCAACGCCGCGUGAGUGAAGAAGGUUUUCGGAUCGUAAAACUCUGUUGUUAGAGAAGCGUUAUCUAACCAGAAAGCCACGGCUAACUACGUGCCAGCAGCCGCGGUAAUUC